UUGGAGCUACUGUGAGUUUUUUGAAACAGACUGAAAUUCCUACUUAGGAAGCAAACAACACCGUUAGUGAGAAGAUUGGCAAUUUUCAUAUUGUGGUUUGAAUUCCUGGAUACAUUGUCUGUGUAGUAUAUUCACAAUAAUGAUAUAUUUGACUGACAGCAGGAUGAGAAAUGUUUGUCAAAAAAACAUUUCUCAUACUGCACGACUCAAAUAUGUGAAGGACAAGAUACACAAGAAACACCUCAAUUUGCACAAACCCAAAGUGCCUCACAGGAACUCUGAAUUCAUUAAUUGCAGAACUGUAUUUCCCAUUAAGUAUAAACCUACAGCUUGUUACUGUCACAGCUAUUUUUCACUCUUGGCAGACAAAUGUAAGCAAGCAGAGAGAGAAAGAGGUGUUACUGUGAGUGACAAUCAGAUUAGCGCAUCGAAUGCCACAGUAAGUGAUCUCAGCUAGCAGCACAGCAGCUCUCUCCUCUUGUGGGCGCAGAGGUUAACCAAUGUGACGACUGUGUCUCAACUUCUCUAUUAACAAAAAUCAAGAUGAUAAAGCUAUUUUUGUAACUAUAUUAAUACAUGUCAAAGAUAAAGAUCCUUGUAUAGCUACAGCUUUAAGGACCCACCCCAGUGAAAAUCAUGUUUUUUUCCUGUUGUCUACAUGUUCAUAUAGCAUUUUUCUGAUGCUACUGGGCAUAUCAUGAGAAAAAAACAAGUGCAGUUCUGAGUAUUUCUGCAUUCAAAUCGCUGUGAAUCUCUGACAGACCCAAACGGCAGGGUCACAUACAGUAAGAUUACCUACGUAGCAAAUCCGAGCUCCGCCCCGAGAGCCCUGCUAUGCAGGUCACACUCAGAGAAAUAGACAGGACAAUCACAGAAGAAGCAUAAAUGGUAAAGAAUUGCAAUGCUAGUAAGAAAGCUAAUUAUGAAAUUAGCUUUUAUAAUGCUGCAGACAUUAGUGUGUCACAAUUGAAAGACCACUGAGAACAUUUUAAGUAAUAAAGAACCGAUCGUAGUGGGACUUUGAGAAUUCUCCUGGGCUUCAACAAUGCAGAAAUGCAUGAACUGUUGGUUGAUGUAUCUAGAUAAUUACAUUGUUCACUGGAACACUGAAGGAUAUUUCAAAAUUUGAAACAAAAGAGGACACAGAAUCAGAUUAUUAUCAUAAAAUGGUGCAACUUUGAUAUGCUUGUUUGUCAAAUGGAGGUAAGACCAAUUAUCUAACACUUCUUUGAUUUCCCUGAAACUCUAUCGUGAAAAUUUGUUGCUGUGUUGAAUCUGUAAACAGAGAUAACUUAGUCUUGGACAAACAAAGUGCUGUAGUCAAAGCCAAUGCAUUUAACAACAUUAAAAAAACAUUUCCCCCCUUAGAUUUAAAAAAAAAAAAGUUUUUCGUUCCUCGAGUGAUCUCAGAAGAUUAGCCCCAGCAUCUUUAUCUCACUCUCACCAUAAUUACCUCACACCAGUUACACUGAUGUGUUCAGUCACUCGAGUGGCUCUGGUGAUGAAACAGUGGAGAGGACACCAACAGAAAGAGAGAGAUGAGUGGAAGUUUGUGUGCUCCAGGAUCCGUAUGGCUGUGUUUUUAUAUCCUCUUGGUUGGAUUGCAAAGCUGAGCAGCGAGCAGAUGGGUUUAUAAUGAGGAAACAGAAAUAUUCUGAUAAUGAUGACCAGAUAAUUACACUCAAUCUGAAGGAUGGGUGGUGGAGGUGGGGGUUGGCGGUGGUGUCGCAGGAUUUAACAAGAGAAUAAAAUGGAUUAAAAGAGAGAUAAGAGCGAGUAAAAAGAGCUGGACUCACUGUAUCAUACUAAAUGUGCAGGAUGGUGCAAAGAGAAGAUGGGCUGGAAUGCAAUGAGCACAGGGAACUCAGAGGCCAUUAAAAAUCUUUGAAUAUCUCCCACUGAAAUAUCUACACUGGAGUUUGAAGGCCUGUAAAGUCUUCUUUGAAGUCACAAAACCAAAAGAUACACUCAUCAUUUUGCUGAUCUCUGCUGUACCAGGUAGAAACUUAAAAAAAAGACAUUUGAACAGGAAAUAUUUUUGGCCUGUUUUGAAAUUCAGUGUCUCCAAGAAUGGAUAUACUUAUUCUUUAUUCAUGCUGCGGUCCACACAGAUUCAUGACUCAGCUAUUUCUCACAUGCACCAGUCAGACUUCCUUCAACCACUUGCAGAUUAACUGUGUAGUGUACUCUAAGAGCAGAGAGGCUUCAACACGCAAGCAAGACAAAAGCCAGGACUAGAUCUCUGCCUGCUGAGGACAACUAAAUUAGAUUAAAUAGAAUUGAACUAAUGUAAAAAUAAGAUUUCAAUUCAUCCCUCUGGGUAGGGCUCGGCGAUAAAACGAUAACAAUAUACAUCAAAAAUGAAUUUCCCUUGAUAUCGAUAUAAAACAGGGUCAAUAUCCUUUUAUGAUAGUCGGCAUUCUGACAUGUUUCGGUAGACUAUGUGAAAAGCCAAUGAAAAGGGGAGUUGCUCUGGGUCCGCUUUGCGCUGAACCAAUCAUGUGCUGAAUUAGAACCAAGUAGCAAACAACUGCAGAUAGUAGUAGCAGGCUGCAGCUACACACAACCAUAGAAUUUUAACACAUGAAGCUGAUAGCAAUAUCGGUGAGGAGAAAAGAAAAUUAGUGCUACCCUUGGCAGAAAUGCAGAUGAAGGCUCAACAGACGGUGGUGUGGAGGUAUUUUGAUUUUUUAAGGUCCGACAUGACGCAUAGUAACGUGCACUGCAAAUCAUGCCGAGUACAUGUUCUUACAAAGUCGGGGAAUACCUCAAUCUUUUUCACCACCUGAAGCAGUGCCACGCGGCAGAGCACACACAAUGAAAAAGGUCACAAACCCCGAGCGGAGCAAGGAGCCCAUGGCUGUGCAGCCGAAACAGCCGACCAUUCAGUCUGCUUUCUCAAGCCCAAUGCCUUACAACAAAACAUUGAAGAGACACAAAGACCUCACAGAUGCAGUAGCUUAUUGUAUUGCAAAAGACAUUUCAUUUUUUAUAUCGUAAUAUAUAUCGAUAUCGACAGACAUGAAAAAACUAUAUUGUGAUAAACUUUUUCCCAUAUCACUCAGCCCUAUCUCUCGGUGAUGAAUAUAUAAACACAUCAAAUGGUCUACUCACACUCCUGAAAGUAGUCUACAUGUAUAAUUAUAUUAGAACAACAGGCCUACAUAUAGGCGCUUACUUGGGAUAACUCAGCUUCUUGGUCAAUAUUGCAUGCACUGAAACAUUUCAUUAUUUUUUAUCUUUUCUCAAAUGAGCUUAUUUUCCAUCCACACUUGAGGGAUAUCCUUUGAAAAUGGCAAAAAAAAAAAAAGAAGCAUCUUUAGUAUUCACUGACUGAACCCUGAGCAAUUUAAGAGGCUUUGAAUUUUAACUGAUAAUGAAGUGAUACUUCUCCACACUUUUAUAACUUCAUUUUUGCUUUGCCUUUUCCGGCUAGUCUGAAGAAUCACUGCCUCAAAUCUGAGACGCUUUCUUCUCAUUAUAGAUGUGAUUGUACUUCGGGGAGGUGUUUUUAGUACCAUCGGAAAACUGUGCAACACAUUGUGGUGUGAUGCAUUUUACAAAUGAACUCAUUUAAUGGGCCUCGGUGUGCUACAUGACAUCAUUGAGCUCUACAUUGCCUCCUAUUAGUCAUCUGUUUUUAUCAAUUAUUCAUAAUGUUUUGGGGCAUAAUUACCUGCUGGUGUUUAACUUUUAUUAAAUGGCCUCUCUUAUAACACCGUAUGGCGGUGUUUAUUUCGGAUGUGACACGCUGGAUUGAUGGCGACUCACCUCCCAGCAGAUGGCUUGAAUUUGUGCAAAUAAGAGUUCAAUGAUAUAUUUUCAUUGUAAAUCUGUCCAAAAAAAUAUGCUGCAGAUCCAACAUGCUCAGUUUAAUCUGUGGGCUGGAAUUUGAACAAGAAAGCUAGCUCUGUUAAAACUGCAGACAAAAUGGAAUAUUUGAAUGAAAUGUUCAACAAAUUUUUAGCAACAGAUAAAAGAGAGGAUUUUGUUCUGUAGAGAAGAUCUAGGCUUUGGGGAAAAGAUGAAUACGGAGUAAAAAGAGAGUUUUCCUGCCUUCUAAACACACAAAAAAAAAACAAAGAAAAGGUCAAAAAUGUUAACUCACUGGAGGACGUGUGUGUUUUUGUUAGGGGAAAUGAAUGCACUUUACUUUUGGGCGUUUCUGCCCUGUUCAUUUUAAUCAUUUGGACCUCUGAGGUUGCUUUUUCACAUCAUGCAGUUUUUUUUCCGCUUUACUUUCAUGUUCAAAGCUUGAGUAUAAGGAAGAUUUUUGUUGAAAAGAUAUUACAAGCACACACAAACACACCUGAAACACACACACCCAUCUGUCUAGCUGCUUUAUACUCAAACACACCCUUUUUUUCCCCUUAUUUCUUUUGUAUUCAUGCACACACAUUUACACACCAACCUGCACUGACAGGUCAUUUCACCACAAUCUAACAUAGCUGAGCACAGAGACCAGAUGCUAAAUAUAGAAGUAAACCGAGCAGAAUACCAACGACUCUCAAGACCAUACAACACAGAGUGAUGGGGGCGAUGAUUCAGACAAGGCAAUAAGGCAAAGACAGGUUCAAGACCUGGAGGUGGUUCAGGGGAGGAUUAAAAUAGGUUUUAAAGAACAGGCUGAAGAAAGUUCAUUUAAUUGGAGUUAUGCUUUUGCAAAGUCUUGGAGAAUAUAAAAAAGGUUAAAGCCAGACUACAUCCGCUACUGAGUAAAAUUAAGAUCUUUCCAAUACUAACAAAGAAUGAAAAACAGUUCUUCCUAAGGAGUAGUGUGUAGUGAACAGGUGGUUAUGAAAAUCCAUACGGGGUGAGCAAGACCCAGAUAUGAAGCUCUUUUCUUCUUGAGUUUGUGGUUGACAAGCCUUCAAACGUAAAAGAGGCAAGAUGUCAGACCUUUUAAAAUUGUUGCCCCUGUUAUUACUGCAUUUUUCUGUUACUUUACUGAUUAGCAACAUAAAGAUGAACUCACCAGCCCUGCAGAACAGAGUGCUGUUCCCCUUUUGUUAUAUGGUCGCGGAACUGGUAAUUCAUCAGACUAUUCUUACAUAUGUUGUUUUUUGCUGCGUCAGAAGCCCAGGCAGGCUGAAACUUACAUUUGUGCCUCGAUAGCCCUGUUUACAUGGGCAAAAUUUCCUGAUCCGAUUAAAAGUUUUAGGGAUCAGAUAAUCUAAAUCCAUUGUUUAUAUGGGUGCGAAAUCAAAUAAUCCGAUCAUGACGUGCGUAUAGUUUUAUUCAGAUUAGCAGCAUUUGGACACGCGCAGAGUUGUCUAAUUUCACAAAAAGAACCCCAGAAAAAGAGUUGUAUUGAAGCCUGUGCUAUUAAUAAACCAAUAACCAACUCUAUCCAACUCAGGAUUUUCCCUGGUGUUAAAUCUUGUUACAAGAUGGCGACCUUGCUUACUUCUUUUACCGUUCUGUCAAAGGUUGCUCUGUGUGUGCAGAUGUGACAUCAUUACGCUGUAUGUACGCCUUGUUAUGUUAUCGGAGGAGCAGACACGGCACCACCUCCUGUAAACCUCUUGUACUGACUUCAAUAAAUAAACCAAAGGCUAAAUAGUGAAGAUCAAGUCAGGUAAGAGAGUGUUGACAUGGACGCGUUUCGUAAUAAUGAUCGGCAUAAACUACCCCUCUCGAUCGGAAUACAAUGUCUUUCCAAUUGAACCAAACUGGAUCAGAAUCUUCCGAUUGACAUGUUUACAUGAUGCGUUUUUAUUCCGAUCGGGCCUUUACUACAAUUAUUUGCGCCCAUGUAAAGCAGCUACUGAUACCCAGCCUUUACCUUUUUGCCUCAGUGUCAACAGGUGGAGGGGGGAUGUGCCCUCUGCUCACUGAUUUGAUAUGAUGCAUGUGGUCAUCGUCCCCAGCACUGCUCAUACUAAUAGGAUUUAACAUUAAAUGCAUCAUGAUCUCCCUGUAAACUGAAAGUGGCAAAGGCAAGAGUUAAUCAGGACGGGGUUGACAGUUUCUGUUUUUACCAAAGUAGAGUUCAAACAUCAGCUUUUGGACAGCAUUAGCAUUAAUCUUUUGUUACCCUGCAGGUAUCUUAGAGUUUAAAAAAAAAAACUUGAUAUUUAAGAGGAAUAAGCCUCACUGUUGGGACUUUAUCUCACCUUCAGAAAGUAGUUAGCCCGGAAGGCACUGGCAUCAGGUAAUUCAAUGAGUCAGAUUCAAUCCCCUCAAAUGGUGAUACGACCCUGUCUUUUUUUCCCCCGGUCCUUUGAAAUACAAAUUUGACGCUACAUUACAGGUUGUUUCAUCAUCAUUUGUUGAGCCUUUGCUGACUACUUUUUCUCCACCUUUGCACAUAUGUGGCUUAGUUUUGCUUUACUAAAUACACCCUGUAAUCUGAUGUGUCACAGUAUCUACCAGGACUACAUGUACUACAUGCAGAAUUCUAAUCUAGGGCCCAUGUGUUUUAUGACGAAACUCGUGUGUGUGUGUGUGUGUGUGUGUGUGUGUGUGUGUGUGUGUGUGUGUGUGUGUGUGUGUGUGUGUGUGUGUGUGUGUGUCAAAUCCUUAUGCAUACUUUAGGCAGUGACAGAUGAAAGCCUGUCAGGAUACCACAGGAGUUUCCCCAGUAAUUCAGAUUCCCCCUUUGAGAUCUUGCAGUGGUUUGUACAUAAAUUGACUGUGUUUAUGAUACUUUCCCUAGUCUACUGACCACUCAGAGCACUUUUGUCCAGAGAUCGAACCUCCAAUCCAGACUGAGAAACAAAUGACUCUACCACUGAGCCAUCCCCCGAUGAGGAAAAGCCGGAAGAUUGGACUGGCCCCGAAAAAAUGAAAAAGAGAGAGAGAGAGGGAAAAACCUGACAAGAACAAUUUUGCAUUUCAUUGAGCACAAAGUCUUUGAUCCAUUCAUUAAAUUGAGGGGAUUAAAUCCCAGAUUACAAAUUAAAAAAACAGGGUUAUAAAUUUUCAUGAGCAUACUUUUUUUUUCCUAUUCCCAAGACUUGCCAGGCUUAAGAGGUUGUAAAAUUACAGAUGGGAUUUUUUUUUUGGUUUUACUUAUUAAGAAUGGACACACGUUACUUUCAGAAGGACCCUGCUUAUAGCUGGUUCAUAAACCCCACCCUGAAAGCAUGCUGUAAAUUAAAGCACUAGAAUAGAGCCAGCAGUACUUGCCAUAAAGGGCUUAAACGUAACAAAUGAUACAUAAUACACUUGAGUUUUAUUGGAGUUAUAGUAGGCUACGGAGAAAAGAAAAUAUGAGCUAAAAAAAGAGCUAUAAAAUUAGGAAAGCCAAUUAAAGGAAGAAAAUAUAAUGAACUUAUAAUUAAACAGUGCUGCUAGAGAAAAUGUGUGCGUGUAAAACAGGGUUUCCUAUCGUGAAGAUAAUAAAUACCUUUCAUGUCAAAACCGCCUUUGUUAUGUGUGUGUUUAUGUGUGUGUGUGGCUACUGCCAACCUGAACAAGCGUACAAAGAAGAUCUGAUACAGUUCGAUGUUGCUGUCUCUGUUCAUUCGUGUAAACUGUAAGGAUGUGUGUGUGUGUGUGUGGGGGGGGGGGGGGAGGACAAAGUAUCGUCUUUUUGGUUGUCAUUAGAGGCGUUUGUUAGUCUUUGAGGAGUCACCUAUGUGCUGAGCACCAUGUUGGGCGUCUACAGAAUGAUCAGCCGUCUCACCAAUGUGCCACAUUCCUGUUUCAUGUCUUUAUGAUGAGACGCCUUUGGGGCUCUGAUGUGAGUAAUGAUUUCCUAAUAACCUGCAGCUUGUUAGCUCAGCUGGCUGGAAAACCGACUGCCAAAGUGUCUGCACCUGUUUGAUGUGUGUGAAUGAGAAUGUGACUGUGUGUGUGUGUGUGUGUGUGUGUGUGUGUGUGUGUGUGUGUGUGUGUGUGUGUGUGUGUGUGUGUGUGUGUGUGUGUGUGUGUGUUUCUAUUUGUGUACCCCUUUCUAAAACACAAGACCACAGACUGUCAGUUUCCAUUUGAUGGCACUUUAAUCUGCUUUGGAUAAAUUGUUAAAAUACUGACAUAAUUUUUGCAUCAGCGCUCACUAUUCGAGGUGUCACAAGUGUUUUUCAGUAUAGCCAAGAAUUCACAUUAUGUUUCAACUUCUAGGUUUCUGCUCUCCAUGGACACAAUCAGGAUAUUGAUGUCUUAUUUUAAAAGAUCUGGUGUUUACUCUGUAUUACUGUUGAAGACUAAAAUUAAAUAUUAAUUUGAGAGGAGGAAAAUCGCAGCAGGUUUAAAUUCUUCAGUAGGAGGGGAGCUGUUUUAGGCUUUGAGUAUCAAACUUGUGUUUAUAGAAAGUGGCUCAAGGUAACCAUUUUUGUAUUGAACCUGCACUUAAAAAGAAGAAAAGUUCCUUUAUUUUUGUGCUGGAAGUUUUUUACAUCAUUGCAACAUCA